rnacentral:rRNA from 1 species
GGACAAUGUCUGGGAAACUGCCUGAUGGAGGGGGAUAACUACUGGAAACGGUAGCUAAUACCGCAUAACGUCGCAAGACCAAAGUGGGGGACCUUCGGGCCUCUUGCCAUCAGAUGUGCCCAGAUGGGAUUAGCUAGUAGGUGGGGUAACGGCUCACCUAGGCGACGAUCCCUAGCUGGUCUGAGAGGAUGACCAGCCACACUGGAACUGAGACACGGUCCAGACUCCUACGGGAGGCAGCAGUGGGGAAUAUUGCACAAUGGGCGCAAGCCUGAUGCACCCAUGCCGCGUGUGUGAAAAAAGCCUUCGGGUUGUAAAGCACUUUCAGCGGGGAGGAAGGCGUUAAGGUUAAUAACCUUGUCGAUUGACGUUACCCGCAGAAAAAACACCGGCUAACUCCGUGCCAGCAGCCGCGGUAAUACGGAGGGUGCAAGCGUUAAUCGGAAUUACUGGGCGUAAAGCGCACGCAGGCGGUCUGUCAAGUCGGAUGUGAAAUCCCCGGGCUCAACCUGGGAACUGCAUUCGAAACUGGCAGGCUAGAGUCUUGUAGAGGGGGGUAGAAUUCCAGGUGUAGCGGUGAAAUGCGUAGAGAUCUGGAGGAAUACCGGUGGCGAAGGCGGCCCCCUGGACAAAGACUGACGCUCAGGUGCGAAAGCGUGGGGAGCAAACAGGAUUAGAUACCCUGGUAGUCCACGCCGUAAACGAUGUCGAUUUGGAGGUUGUGCCCUUGAGGCGUGGCUUCCGGAGCUAACGCGUUAAAUCGACCGCCUGGGGAGUACGGCCGCAAGGUUAAAACUCAAAUGAAUUGACGGGGGCCCGCACAAGCGGUGGAGCAUGUGGUUUAAUUCGAUGCAACGCGAAGAACCUUACCUGGUCUUGACAUCCACAGAACUUUCCAGAGAUGGAUUGGUGCCUUCGGGAACUGUGAGACAGGUGCUGCAUGGCUGUCGUCAGCUCGUGUUGUGAAAUGUUGGGUUAAGUCCCGCAACGAGCGCAACCCUUAUCCUUUGUUGCCAGCGGUCCGGCCGGGAACUCAAAGGAGACUGCCAGUGAUAAACUGGAGGAAGGUGGGGAUGACGUCAAGUCAUCAUGGCCCUUACGACCAGGGCUACACACGUGCUACAAUGGCAUAUACAAAGAGAAGCGACCUCGCGAGAGCAAGCGGACCUCAUAAAGUAUGUCGUAGUCCGGAUUGGAGUCUGCAACUCGACUCCAUGAAGUCGGAAUCGCUAGUAAUCGUAGAUCAGAAUGCUACGGUGAAUACGUUCCCGGGCCUUGUACACACCGCCCGUCACACCAUGGGAGUGGGUUGCAAAAGAAGUAGGUAGCUUAAGCCUA